AGGGCCGUAGCUUAGCAGGGAAGCCUCUGCCUUGCAAGCAGAAGGUCUUGGGUUCGGUCCCCAAUGGCACUU